rnacentral:lncRNA from 10 species
UUUUAAAAAAGAAUGAUGAAAAUGUAAUAUGUCAUUUGGGAACAUGUCCUAAUAAUGUAAUAACAUAUAUAUGUAGAAUAAGUUCAUUUUUAUAAAGCAAGCAUAUAAUUGUAUAAAAGUACAAAAAAAUGGCCAGGCAUGGUGGCUCAUGCUUGUAAUCCCAGCAUUUUGGGAGGCCGAGGUGGGUGGAUCACCAGAACACAGGCUCAGAUAGGAUAUAAAUUGCCCAUAUCACAAAAUUAGUAAGUGAUGGAGCUAGAAUACAAACAAGAUCUGCCUAUUUACACAAAUCAAUAAUUUUUCCUCUAUAGCAUGUUGUCAUUACAUGCCUUUGGUUUUUAAGUGAAAUGCACUCAACUUCACAUUUUAAAAUAUGCCCUACCCUUCUGUCCCCUAGUGACUUCAUCCUGUUCCCUACUUCUCAAGACUACUCCUCUUCUUGGACACUUUUUCAUAUUCCAGAACUAACCAUUCUGUUUCAUUUUUUUCUGCUCAUCAUGCAAAGUUAGCAGGGCAGCUGAAAUAAAGGAAUUCAUACUAAAAAAUGGCAUGCUCAGUUUGUAAAAUUUUCCAGAGUUAAAUAGGUAGAGUGAAAUGCGCAAUUUCUUCUUUGAAGAAAACAAUGUUGAAUUUUACUUAAAUGAAUGAUAAAUAUAAUUUUGACAUGUAUUUGUGAUCUGUAUGAGUAAUAUCAUAUCCUAUCCUGCUU